rnacentral:rRNA from 1 species
UUUGCCGGAUUAGCUGAGAGGUGGUGCAUGGCCGUCGUCAGUUCGUACUGUGAAGCAUCCUGUUAAGUCAGGCAACGAGCGAGACCCACGCCCACAGUUGCCAGCGUACUCUCUGGAGUGACGGGUACACUGUGGGGACCGCCGCUGCUAAAGCGGAGGAAGGAAUGGGCAACGGUAGGUCAGUAUGCCCCGAAUAUCCCGGGCUACACGCGAGCUACAAUGGUUGGUACAAUGGGUAUCUACCCCGAAAGGGGACGGGAAUCUCCUAAAACCAAUCUUAGUUCGGAUUGAGGGCUGCAACUCGCCCUCAUGAAGUUGGAAUCCGUAGUAAUCGCGUUUCAACAGAACGCGGUGAAUACGUCCCUGCUCCUU